AGACUAAAAAACAGAAAAGGCAGUUCUACUUGCUUCAGUUGUUUGCAUCCCACCAGAGUCUGCACUCUGCAUCAGUGAUCAGUACCCCAGCCGCCUGUAAAGUAUACAUUCACGAUCGAACACGUUAAAUUUGACUACGCACAGUUGAUCGAAUCACAAUCAUUCACAAACAUAUGACGUCAUAGACCUUAAUUAAUUUGUUCUUUGUUGUUAAAUACAAAACUGGGUACUGUUUGAUCCCAAAUGAUUUGAGCCAAUUCUGUGGUUGGUUUCACGGUAACCACAUAAGCUCAUCCAUACCUUAAAGCCUUCAGAAUUGUCUUUAUAAGUGCACUCUGCACUCACUUCAUUCCUCACUCAAUUCCUAAACUAGAAAACAUCAAUCAUAGUUCAUACCAAAAACCUAUAUGCAUGGAUCAGAUCCGUCUUCUUUGCCUGUUCUCAAUCUUCUAUGUAAGUUUUAGUUAGUUAAUUCACAAGCAACCUGCUUCAUAUCUUCUAUGUAAGUUUUAGUUAGUUAAUUUUGUGGCAUGCACGCAGGUGGCAUCAGUAGUGGUGGGAAUUGGGUAUGCGAAUGGGGCCGAUGAUGGCAAGUUCCGGAUGUCUUACUGGAAUACAGCUUUCCCAAAAUCUCCAUUGCCUUCCAAAGCUGUACAACAACUUCUAAACCUUGCAGGUAUGUAUAAGAGAGCUCGAUCAAUUAACGUACAUGAAACAGCUAUAAUGAGAUAUUCUUUUCCUCUAUGAAGUAUGAAACUUCCAUAGAUUUUAAGGAAAAAGGAAAAAUAAAUGUACAACUGAAGUCGUAGAAUUUCUGUUAAAAUUUCAUUUAAAAGUUAUUAAUUUUAAUUGUUUUCAAUGUUUUACCAUAGACAUGUAUAUGCUCACAUCAAAUGAACUGAUAUAUUGUCACAAGGUGAAACAAGUAACACGGGGUUUGGAAAGCAAGCUCUAAAUCUUGCACCAGAAAUACCAAUAAAUAGUUAUGGAUCCUCUAAAGAAGAAACUCCAGCGGAGCCAGAUUUAACUACAUUCUUCCAAGGACAAGAUCUUCAACAAAAGGGAAAAACAGUGACACUGCGACUCUUGAAACCCACAAGUAACAAGGCAACUCUUUUGUCUCGCCAAGUUGCAAAGUCCAUUCCAUUUUCAAGCAGCAAACUCCCAGAAAUCCUAACCUACUUUGGAGUGAAACCCAACUCACUGGCUGCAGGUCUAAUGAAACAAACAAUCGAAGAGUGUGAGGCACCGGCCAUUAAACGUGAAGGCAAGUAUUGCCUGACAUCGCUGGAAUCCUUGAUCGAUUUCACGGUUUCAAAUCUCGGCAAGGACGUCGGAGUUUAUACAACUGAGGCCGAAACCGAUAAGAAACAAGAGUAUAGCAUUGAGACUACUGGAGUCCAAAGUAUUGGAGACAAGAUUAUUGUGUGCCAUAAGGAGAACUAUGUUUAUGGUGUGUUUUACUGCCACAUAUUCUAUGACAGAACAACAAAGGCUUACAUGGUUCCGUUGGUGAGUGCAGAUGGAGCUACCAAAGCCAAAGCAGUAGCUGUUUGCCAUAUGGAUACCGCUAGCUGGAACCCUAAGAAUGUGGCCUUUCGAGUCCUCAACAAGAAGCCGGGA
rnacentral:lncRNA from 1 species